rnacentral:tRNA from 2 species
GGCCCGGUAGUUUAGUCGGUUAGAAUGCCGCCCUGUCACGGCGGAGGUCGUGGGUUCGAGUCCCAUCCGGGUCGCCA